GACGAACGCUGGCGGCGUGCUUAACACAUGCAAGUCGGGCGGUAAGGCCCUUUCGGGGGUACGACGAGCGGCGAACGGGUGAGUAACACGUGGGUGACCUGCCCUCAGCUCUGGGAUAAGCCUGGGAAACCGGGUCUAAUACCGGAUAUGACUCCAUGACGCAUGUUGUGGGGUGGAAAGCCUUGUGCGGCUGAGGAUGGGCCCGCGGCCUAUCAGCUUGUUGGUGGGGUGAUGGCCACCAAGGCGACGACGGGUAGCCGGCCUGAGAGGGCGACCGGCCACACUGGGACUGAGACACGGCCCAGACUCCUACGGGAGGCAGCAGUGGGGAAUCUUGCGCAAUGGGCGAAAGCCUGACGCAGCGACGCCGCGUGAGGGAUGAC
rnacentral:rRNA from 1 species